GCGAGGCCAGAGCCAGGCCAGAUCCCGGCUUCGACAUCCAGGGCGAGCGCGUGCAUCAGUCAGUCAAGUGGCCAUCUCGCUUCCUCCAAUUUAAUAAUCUGCGAUGUUGGAACAGCGGCGCACCCUCCUCGUUCUAACAAUGGGAAUAAAGGGCUCAGGAAUAGGACGUGCCUGGCCCAAAGCCACGGUGUCGGCAGAGCUGGGCCCUCGCCCCCGGUCAGGAAUCCUAUUCACCCAGAGUCAAAGCCCCGCGCCGAAGGCGACGAGGGCGGCAGGGAACCCGCCGGCUUGGGAGGGGCCCAGCGGCUGCGCGCGGCGUUCGGUUCCCACACUCGCCUGACUGGAACUCGGCCCUGCCACGACCGGCGGAAGGCUGCCCGUCACGGUCCCGCGCGCCGGACAGUCCGCGCCGCGCUCACCCCGCGGCCCACAGCGUCACCUCAGCGGGCGGCGCCUCCAGCCUCCGGCCCCGCCCCGCGCGCAUGCGCGCCGCCGCCGCCGCCCCCCCCCCCCGCGCGCACGCCGUGCGCACGCGCAGUCUCUGCUCUGCCACGCGCCCCGGGCUCGGUGGCGGCCGACGUCGUCGGGAACCGGCAGCGGGUGUGGGGGGUGCCGGGGUGCCGGGAGGCGGGAACGGUGGGCGCGGCCGACGUGUCCUCCCCCGCCUCCCGCAGGGAAGGCUGUGGAUCCGCCCCGGGCCCUAAGUGCCCGCCGCGGCACGUGCGCCUGCCCCUCGAGUUGGGGUGCUGGGCAGAGGGGCGGACGGGAGCUGCGGCGGCGCGGAAGGUGGGGGCGCUUGGGGGGCAGGACGCGCGGGGCUCCUCCUCCUCUUUCUCCUUCUCCUCCUCCCCUUCCUCCCCCUUUCUCCUCCUCACCCUCCUCCUCCAACCCCCUCUUUCUCCUCCUCCUCCUCCCCUUCCUCCCCUCCCCCUCCCCUCCCCCUCCCUUCCCCCCUCCCCUCCCCCUCCCUUCCCCUCCUCCUCCUCCCCUUUCUCCUCCCCCUCUUCCUCCUCCACCCCCCUUUCUCCUUCUCCUCCACCUCCUCCUCCCCCUCUUUCUCCUUCUCCCCCUCCUGCUUCCCUUCCUCCUCCCCCUCGUCCUCCUUCCCCGCCUCCUCCUCCUCCUCCCCCUCUUUCUCCUUCUCCUCCCCCUCCUCCUCCCCCUCCCCCUCCCCCUCCACCACCAGGGUACCUUCGGUGCGGACGUGGGCUUUGUCCCCCCCUCCCCACGGGGAAGGCGGCACAGGUGGUGCCUGGCAUCGUGGACUUAACCACACUCCCAGAGUCUCACUGCGGCUCCAUGUCUGCCUCGCCCCAAGAGCUUGGCCAGUUUACCUUACCUCUCCUGUGCCUCAGUUUCCUCAGCUGGAAAAGGAGUCAGGGAUCGUGCUUCACAGGAUGGCCUGUUGUGAAGAUCCAAUGA
rnacentral:lncRNA from 1 species